ensembl:lncRNA
UUCCGAUGCAAACACACAAGGGUCGUUUAUUCAAGCUCGAGCAGGGACUCUCAUCCGACACCGACGCAGCGGGUCAAGAUUGAGAGCCCCGACUCUAAAACACCAGGGGUUUUUAUAGAGGUUACAGCAAGGCGCAGGGUUUCAAAAAGGGCGUGGGGUUUCAAAUCACACGCAAAUCACACAAUUGGCUAGCAUUUAGCAAGUUUUGAAAGUUUAAACCUAAUUGGCUGGGCCUUGCGCUCUGAACUGCAAACGGCUGCUCAAGUCAUCGAAAAGAACAUCUGGGAUACUGGGGUAUUGGGGUAACUACUGAUUAGCUGUUGCAAGCCAUCGAGAAGAGCAUCUGGGACAUUGGGGCAGCUACCGAUUAGCUGUCGCUAGGCGAGUUGCUAGGGGACUGCUAAACAUUAUCACAGGCAGGUGGCCAAAGUGCAUCUUGUGGUUUUUCUCGGAACUAGGAUUUAUGUCCAGGCCACCUUUACUCUAAAAUGGGGCCAAAACUUUAAAAUGGAGUCACUCAGGUCUCACGGAUGAGGCCAAAGAUGCAAGAUCAAGUUCAGGACUGAUGCUGUGCCACCCACCACAAGCUCCUGGCCAACUGACACUGAAUGACCAGUUUGCAUUUGGUGCGGGUGGGGAGUGGGGGAGGGGGCUUCUUUUCUGUUGUAAGAUGGAGUGGAAUGCCUGGCCUCCAACCACUAGAGGUCAGUAGCAGCCCCCUGGUGAAAAGUAAAAAUAUGGCACGGUAUGGUUUAUAUCAGGAUGAUCCUCUAAAGCCUCAUGCACUCAGACGUGGGGCUUGUGGAAUAGGAUUGGAGUACAGGGGAUCUAGCCAGCUCUGGCUUGGUGUUAGGAGGUAGGGUCUGGUCAGAAGAGGUGGUCAUUGAGGAAGUGACCUGGAAGAGUCCCUGUCCCUGGCUCCUCCUUUUGCUCUCUGCUUCCCAGUUGCCUUGAUAUGAACAGCUCUCCUUCCCCUUGCCCCUCUGACAUGCUGUUUCUUCUUUGGAGCUGGUCUACCAUGGACUAAAUCAUGAGCCAAAAUAAACCUUCCCUCCAUUA